AUUAUGAGUUUUUCUGUUGGCGAUCAUCAGGUGAAGUGUGUAUUCUGAAGAGUUUACAAUGUGAUUAUCAGCCAAACUGCCCACAGGGGGAGGACGAGGAUGGCUGCGGUCCCUGCACAUUUGAACGUGACCAAUGCCGCUGGACUGAGAGUGGAGACGGGCCGAGCAGGUGGCACAGACAGAAAGCCAGUAACAAUACUAAACCACCCACUGAUCACACCGCAGGCGCAGGCUACUACAUGAGCGUGAUUU